rnacentral:hammerhead_ribozyme from 1 species
AUCCGACUGACGAUUCCCAAAUAGAACGAAACGCACGUCUUAGAU